ACCUGGGUGCUUUAGUGGUAGAGCACGCGUCCGGAUAAACGCGGGUUCGAUUCCCGCCUGAGGCC